rnacentral:rRNA from 1 species
UACGGAGGGGGCGAGCGUUAAUCGGAAUUACUGGGCGUAAAGCGUGCGCAGGCGGUUUGAUAAGCCAGGGGUGAAAUCCCCGGGCUCAACCUGGGAACUGCGUUCGAAACUGUCAGACUAGAGUCCGUCAGAGGGGGGUGGAAUUCCGCGUGUAGCGGUGAAAUUCGUAGAGAUGCGGAGGAACACCGAUGGCGAAGGCAGCUCCCUGGGAUGACACUGACGCUGAUGCGCGAAAGCGUGGGGAGCAAACAGG